AUUGAACGCUGGCGGCAUGCCUUACACAUGCAAGUCGAACGGCAUCGCGGGAAAGCUUGCUUUCCUGGCGGCGAGUGGCGAACGGGUGAGUAACACAUCGGAACGUACCGGCUAGUGGGGGAUAACCCGUCGAAAGACGGGCUAAUACCGCAUACGCUCUUCGGAGGAAAGCAGGGGACCUUUGGGCCUUGCGCUAGUCGAGCGGCCGAUGUCCGAUUAGCUAGUUGGUGGGGUAAAGGCCUACCAAGGCGACGAUCGGUAGCGGGUCUGAGAGGACGAUCCGCCACACUGGGACUGAGACACGGCCCAGACUCCUACGGGAGGCAGCAGUGGGGAAUCUUGGACAAUGGGGGCAACCCUGAUCCAGCAGUGCCGCGUGGGUGAAGAAGGCCUUCGGGUUGUAAAGCCCUUUCGGCAGGGAAGAAAUCGGCGGGGCGAAUAACCCUGCUGGAUGACGGUACCUGCAGAAGAAGCACCGGCUAACUACGUG
rnacentral:rRNA from 1 species